UACGUAGGGUGCAAGCGUUGUCCGGAUUUAUUGGGCGUAAAGAGCUCGUAGGCGGUCUGUCGCGUCUGCUGUGAAAACUCGGGGCUUAACCCCGGGCCUGCAGUGGGUACGGGCAGACUAGAGUGCGGUAGGGGAGACUGGAAUUCCUGGUGUAGCGGUGAAAUGCGCAGAUAUCAGGAGGAACACCGGUGGCGAAGGCGGGUCUCUGGGCCGUAACUGACGCUGAGGAGCGAAAGCAUGGGUAGCGAACAGG
rnacentral:rRNA from 1 species